UGCAACUCCUUCAUCUCUCUCUGAGUCUGAGUGUUACUUCAAAUUUGAGGGGCAAGUUGAGUUUACCCUACCAGCAGCCUGUCAACAGACACUCAGAGUCACAGGAAAUCAUCUGUUACGGUGGACAGGUCGAAGUUCACCUGCUGUGGUCAAAAUACAAUGUCAAUACAGUAACACAAGCUUUCAGUUUAGAUCCAUAUUCAGUGACCCAUCUACAGUCACAAUUGAGGAUCAUCCUCAGCUGACAGUGAUUCCUACAGUCAUCAGAAAGAGAGACUCAGUUCAGCUGAUCUGUGAGACUCCUCCAUCUGUCUAUGUGUCUGACUGUAUCUUCAGUGAAGUGGGGAGAUCUAGUCUGCCAGGCUCAACCUGUAAACAGACGGUCACAGGAUCUCAGCUGCUCUCUUGGACAGGUCAACCAUUACCAGCUGUGGUCCAGGUCACAUGUCACUACACUGUAGGGAUGUCUCACACAUCUCCUGUCAGUGACCCAGUUUCUGUCACUGUCCAGGGUGAACUACAGAAACCAGAGAUACAUAUGAAGGAUGAGUCUUCUGAUGUCAUCUCUAUAGACUCCCACUCUGUGUCCCCACACAGUGAUGGAUACAACUUACCAGAUCUGCCGGGAGAUCUCAUGAUCAGUGAUCCAACAACUAAACAGACAUCUUCUACAGCAGUUCCUGCUGAAGAGAACGAACAGUCAUCUGGAAAUGGCAAUUCUGGUAUAUACCACAUGUACUGCUCAGUCCCUGAUCGACCAGCAACUUCAGCCCAGACAGUUGGGCUGUAGAGUCUUCUGCAGACACACUGAAACUACACCACUGGUUUUCUGUUGCUACAUUUAAAAGGUCUCAAACAAAUACCCUAUUUUUAACAUAAUGUCUUAAGUUCACAUCACUUUACUUGAAAUUAUCACUUACACCUGACUUUUGUUACAUAUCCAUAAUAUCUAUUUUAGUGUUUAAGUAAUUCGGGACAUAUUAUUUUUGUAUUUGUUUCUUCUUUUGCCCCUAGUAAAUUAUGUUUAAUCUGCAGUAUUAAUGUUUAUUGUCAGCUGUGUGAGGAGUUUUUCCAUAGUGCUUGGAUUCAGUUUCCAAUAUUUAUUCCAGUAUUUGGAGUAAACAUUUAUAUCAAUUGAUGCCUUUAUUGUAUACUCACACAUUAUGCAACAUGCAUAUUGGAUAUCAAGUUACUUUAAUUAACAGUAAUUAGGAAUGGAUCCAAACAGAAUUUCAUCCAAUAAAUGUCAUUAAUUCAAAAAUAUGCAUUCUAAAUGUAAUGUAGUGUUGUAAAGGACAG
ensembl:lncRNA